AACGAACGCUGGCGGCAUGCCUAACACAUGCAAGUCGAACGAGACCUUCGGGUCUAGUGGCGCACGGGUGCGUAACGCGUGGGAACCUGCCCUUAGGUUCGGAAUAACUCCCCGAAAGGGGUGCUAAUACCGGAUAAUGUCUUCGGACCAAAGAUUUAUCGCCUUUGGAUGGGCCCGCGUUGGUUUAGCUAGUUGGUAGGGUAAACGCCUACCAAGGCGACGAUCCAUAGCUGGUCUGAGAGGAUGAUCAGCCACACUGGGACUGGGACACGGCCCAGACUCCGACGGGAGGCAGCAGUGGGGAAUAUUGGACGAUGGGCGAAAGCCUGAACCAGCAAUGCCGCGUGAGUGAUGAAGGGUUUAGGGUUGUAAAGCUCUUUUACCCGGGAUGAUAAGGACAGGACCGGGAGAAUAAGCCCCGGCAAACUCCGU
rnacentral:rRNA from 1 species